rnacentral:hammerhead_ribozyme from 1 species
AUCCAGCUGACGAGUCCCAAAUAGGACGGGGCGCGCGUCCUGGAU